rnacentral:rRNA from 1 species
CCGGCGCACGGGUGAGUAACGCGUAUGCGACCUGCCCGUUGCAGGGGGAUAAUCGGGAGAAAUCCCGUCUAAUACCGCGUAACGCCGCGGGGCUGCAUGGCCCUGCGGCCAAAGGGAGCGAUUCCGGCAACGGAUGGGCAUGCGUGACAUUAGCUAGUUGGCGGGGCAACGGCCCACCAGGCGACGAUGUCUAGGGGUUCUGAGAGGAAGGUCCCCCACACUGGUACUGAGACACGGACCAGACUCCUACGGAAGGCAGCAG